rnacentral:rRNA from 1 species
CAAAAACAUGGCUCCCUGAACUUUAAUAAUAGGGAGUCGGACCUGCCCAGUGAAUUUUUAACGGCCGCGGUACUCUGACCGUGCAAAGGUAGCAUAAUCAUUUGCCUUAUAAUUGAAGGCUAGUAUGAAUGGUUUGACAAGAAUGAAGCUGUCUCUUUAUAAUUUAAUAGAAUUUUAUUUUUAGGUGAAGAAGCCUAAAUAUAAUUAAAAGACAAGAAGACCCUAUCGAGCUUGAAAAAAGUUAAUAGAGCUAAUUAAUUAAUAUUUAUAAAAAAUUAUCCAUUAAAUAUUUUAGUUGGGGCGACUGAGGAACAUAAAAAGCUUCCUUUAAUAAAAAAUUAAUAAAUCAAACUAGAAUUGAUCCAAAAUAUUUUGAUUAAAGAAAUUAGUUACCGUAGGGAUAACAGCAUUAUCUUUUUUAAGAGCUCAUAUCGAAAAAAAGGUUUGUGACCUCGAUGUUGGACCAGAAUAUCCUAAAGGUGCAGCAGUCUUUAAGGGUUGGUCUGUUCGACCAUUAAAAUUCUACGUGA